rnacentral:rRNA from 1 species
CCUACGGGAGGCAGCAGUGGGGGAUAUUGCACAAUGGGGGAAACCCUGAUGCAGCGACGCCGCGUGUGGGAAGACGGUCCUCUGGAUUGUAAACCACUAUCCCCAGGGACGAAGAUGACGGUACCUGGGGAGGAAGCUCCGGCUAACUACGUGCCAGCAGCCGCGGUAAUACGUAGGGAGCGAGCGUUGUCCGGAAUUACUGGGUGUAAAGGGAGCGUAGGCGGGACUGCAAGUUGGGUGUCAAAUCUACCGGCUCAACCGGUAGCCGCACUCAAAACUGCAGUUCUUGAGUGAAGUAGAGGCAGGCGGAAUUCCUAGUGUAGCGGUGAAAUGCGUAGAUAUUAGGAGGAACACCAGUGGCGAAGGCGGCCUGCUGGGCUUUUACUGACGCUGAGGCUCGAAAGUGUGGGGAGCGAACAGGAUUAUAUACCCGAGUAGUC